UCCGGCAGCUAGCUCUCUGCAACUCUCACAUGGUCGCCCUCUAAAGUUAAGCAGGGCUGCGCCUGGUUUGUACCUGUAUGGGAGACCACCUGGGAAAGCUAGGUUGCUGUCGGAA
rnacentral:rRNA from 1 species